CAGUAGCCGCGGUAAUACGUAGGGUGCAAGCGUUAAUCGGAAUUACUGGGCGUAAAGCGUGCGCAGGCGGUUUGUUAAGACAGAUGUGAAAUCCCCGGGCUCAACCUGGGAACUGCAUUUGUGACUGGCAAGCUAGAGUAUGGCAGAGGGGGGUGGAAUUCCGCGUGUAGCAGUGAAAUGCGUAGAUAUGCGGAGGAACACCGAUGGCGAAGGCAGCCCCCUGGGCCAAUACUGACGCUCAUGCACGAAAGCGUGGGGAGCAAACAGGAUUAGAUACCCCGGUAGUCCCUGUCUCUUAUAC
rnacentral:rRNA from 1 species